rnacentral:rRNA from 1 species
AUGAACGCUAGCGGCAGGCUUAACACAUGCAAGUCGAGGGGCAGCGCGGGGCGGCAACGUCCUGGCGGCGACCGGCGGAAGGGUGCGUAACGCGUGAGCGACAUGCCCGUCGCCCGGGGACAACCGGUGGAAACGCCGACUAAUCCCCGAUGGGACGGAGGCCCUCAUGGGUCUCUGUUGAAAGUUACGGCGGCGACGGAUUGGCUCGCGUCCGAUUAGCUUGUUGGCGGGGUAACGGCCCACCAAGGCUACGAUCGGUAGGGGUUCUGAGAGGAAGGUCCCCCACAAUGGAACUGAGACACGGUCCAUACUCCUACGGGAGGCAGCAGUGAGGAAUAUUGGUCAAUGGGCGGAAGCCUGAACCAGCCAUGCCGCGUGCGGGAAGGAGGCCCUAUGGGCUGUGAACCGCUUUUGCCUGGGGGCAAUAAGGGCGUCGUGCACGUCCGAUGAGAGUACCAGGCGAAUAAGCAUCGGCUAACUCCGUGCCAGCAGCCGCGGUAAUACGGGGGAUGCGAGCGUUAUCCGGAUUCAUUGGGUUUAAAGGGUGCGUAGGCUGUGCGUCAAGUCAGGGGUGAAAUUCCGGGGCUCAACUCCGGGGCUGCCCUUGAUACUGUCGCGCUGGAGUGCGGAUGCCGCCGGAGGAAUGAGUGGUGUAGCGGUGAAAUGCUUAGAUAUCACUCAGAACACCGAUUGCGAAGGCAUCUGGCGAAUCCGUAACUGACGCUGAGGCACGAAAGCGUGGGGAUAGAACAGGAUUAGAUACCCUGGUAUUCCACGCCGUAAACGAUGAUGGCUAACCGCCGGCGACACACUGUCGGUGGCCAAGCGA